rnacentral:rRNA from 1 species
AGCCAGCAGCCGCGGUAAUACAGAGGGUGCGAGCGUUGUCCGGAAUCACUGGGCGUAAAGGGCGCGUAGGCGGCUGGCUAAGCGGGUGGUGAAAGCCCGGGGCUCAACCCCGGGUCGGCCAUGCGAACUGGUCAGCUGGAGCACGGUAGAGGCACAUGGAAUUCCGGGUGUAGCGGUGGAAUGCGUAGAGAUCCGGAAGAACACCGGUGGCGAAGGCGGUGUGCUGGGCCGUAGCUGACGCUGAGGCGCGACAGCGUGGGGAGCAAACAGGAUUAGAUACCCUGGUAGUCCACGCCGUAAACGAUGGGCACUAGGUCCUUGGGGGAGCGACCCCGUGAGGGCCGGCGCUAACGCAUUAAGUGCCCCGCCUGGGGAGUACGGCCGCAAGGCUGAAACUCAAAGGAAUUGACGGGGGCCCGCACAAGG